AGAUGAAGAACGCAGCGAAAUGCGAUAAGUAGUGUGAAUUGCAGAAUUCCGUGAAUCAUCGAAUCUUUGAACGCACAUUGCGCCUCCUGGUAAUCCGUGAGGCAUGCCUGUCCGAGCGUCAGUAAAAAGCAACUCGGCCGCGGCUGGCGGUUGGUGAUGGAGGAAGAGCACGUCUCGUUGUCGGUCUCCCCUCCCAAAAUCAACGGCGGAAUGUCACUGGCACUCGGUGUUGUAGUAUUAUUCGCCGAUCACCCAUUGUUGUUCCUGCCGCCCAAACCCCCACAAUUCUCUUGAUUGACCUCGGAUCAGGUAGGGAUACCCGCUGAACUUAAGCAUAUCAAUAAGCGGAGGA
rnacentral:misc_RNA from 1 species